CGUGCACUGGUGGGGUCCCUCAGCAUGGCCUGCGCCCUCUCACAAUCCAGGACCCCUCAGGGGAUGUCAGAGGCCCGGUGCAUGGAUUCGGCCCGAUCCCUGCAGGCCAGGCUGAGGGACCCCACCAGUGCACG
rnacentral:pre_miRNA from 1 species